rnacentral:lncRNA from 1 species
CCUCCCAAAGUGCUGGAAUUACAGGCGUGAGUUGCUGCACCCAGCCUGCUCAGUGACGUUGAUGUUAGCCAGAUUCCAUCUUAUCUAUGGAAAACGGAAGCACAACAGGUGAAGUUGCCUGCCAAGUCAGCCAGCUGGCUGGAGUGCAGUGGUGUGAUCACAGCUCACUGGAGCCUAAAACUCCUGGGCUCAAGAGAUCCUUCUGCUUCAGCCUGCCCAGUUGCUGCACAAUAGGCAUGCACCACCAUGCCUGGCUAAGUGCCCACCUGCUGAUUCGGACUCUUAGCGACCCCUCCACAGCACUGUCCUGAGGGUGAAAUGAGAUCGGGGACAAAGUGCCACCAACUGGAAAAGGUUAACUCAGAACCAUCUGGCACCCACCAGAACUUCCUACGCCGGGAGUGCGUCAGAACCAGCCGAGGGUGUGAAAGCGGACACUGUCACACUGUGCCACUCUCUCAAGGCGUUUUCCUGCCCGACUCUGCACACUCGGCCUUGGUUUCUCCUGAGAGCAGCCAUCAGGAGCGCUCCUACUCGCCCGCUGCAGCCUCUGCCCACCUUCCUGCCUCUGGCUCCGGCCCAGC